rnacentral:rRNA from 1 species
GUCAUUCUUACUAAAGAUAACCUUAUUAAGAGGAAUUGACAUGGAAGUCCGCAAUGUGUAUUUUGUCACCAUGAUGAGACAAUAAAACAUUUAUUCUUCCAAUGCAAAUUGGCUCGUUCUAUAUGGUUAGUCAUCCAAAUAGCUUCUAGCUUGUAUCCUCCUUGUAGUGUUGCUAAUGUAUUUGGCAACUGGUUACACGGGAUUGAUGACAGGUUUAGAACUUUUCUCAGGGUGGGAGCGCUUGCCGUUAUUUGGUCGCUUUGGCUAUGUAGAAAUGAUAAGGUUUUUAACGAUAAAAGUACUUCCCUGAUGCAGGUUCUCUACAGAUGUACCGGGACUCUUCAUUUAUGGUCCUCUCUACAACGUGUGGAGAAUCGAGACCUAUUUACGGAGGUGUGUACAUGA